GAUGAAGAACGUAGCGAAAUGCGAUAAGUAAUGUGAAUUGCAGAAUUCAGUGAAUCAUCGAAUCUUUGAACGCACAUUGCGCCCCUUGGUAUUCCGGGGGGCAUGCCUGUCCGAGCGUCAUUACAACCCUCAAGCUCAGCUUGGUAUUGGGCCCCGCCGCUCCGGCGGGCCCUAAAGUCAGUGGCGGUGCCGUCCGGCUCCGAGCGUAGUAAUUCUUCUCGCUCUGGAGGUCCGGUCGUGUGCUCGCCAGCAACCCCCAAUUUUUUUCAGGUUGACCUCGGAUCAGGUAGGGAUACCCGCUGAACUUAAGCAUAUCAAUAAGCGGAGA
rnacentral:misc_RNA from 1 species